CUCCCCUGCUAAUGGGCAAAGAGGCGUCCAGUUGGUGGCGCGGCUCUUGAAUCUAGCAGGGGGAGAGCGACCAGCCCUCGUUCAUCCCAGCGCAGGAUCCCGGGCGGUGGCUGUCGCUGGUUCAUGCUGGGGGCACACGA